GUCCUCAGAGUGUGAUGUUCCCCUUCCUGUGUCCAUGUGAUCUCAUUGUUCAAUUCCCACCUAUGAGUGAGAAUAUGUGGUGUUUGGUUUUUUGUUCUUGCGAUAGUUUACUGAGAAUGAUGAUUUCCAAUUUCAUCCAUGUCCCUACAAAGGACAUGAACUCAUCAUUUUUUAUGGCUGCAUAGUAUUCCAUGGGGUAUAUGUGCCACAUUUUCUUAAUCCAGUCUAUCAUUGUUGGACAUUUGGGUUGGUUCCAAGUCUUUGCUAUUGUGAAUAGUGCCGCAAUAAACAUACGUGUGCAUGUGUCUUUAUAGCAGCAUGAUUUAUAGUCCUUUGGGUAUAUACUUCGCAAAAGAAGACAUUUAUGCAGCCAAAAAACACAUGAAAAAAUGCUCAUCAUCACUGGCCAUCAGAGAAAUGCAAAUCAUAACCACAAUGAGAUACCAUCUCACACCGGUUGGAAUGGCAAUCAUUAAAAAGUCAGGAAACAACAGGUUCUGGAGAGGAUGUGGAGAAAUAGGAACACUUUUACACUGUUGGUGGGACUGUAAACUAGUUCAACCAUUGUGGAAGUCAGUGUGGCGAUUCCUCAGGGAUCUAGAACUAGAAAUACCAUUUGAGCCAGCCAUCCCAUUACUGGGUAUAUACCCAAAGGACUAUAAAGCAACUGCUUUCUAAGUGGGAUGGCUGAAGCAAGAGACCUUAAAUCACUUGACUGUCUUCACAAAACAGAACUGAAGCAGAACCAGAAGUCCCCUGAUAGCCUUUCAGGGACACCACCUACAAAUACACCGUAAUCCCUCAUACUCCACACGCCACUUCAGGGAAAGGGACAUGAGGCAGGAAUACAAAUAUAUACCAUCUGUGACACUUCCUAAGCUCCUGGCUUCAGAGUAGCCAUCCUGAUAAUUAUUUUUUAAAGUCCACAUUAUAAAUGUGCAAGUUAAGUGAGUUAUGGAAAUCAUUCCAGAUACUGGUUCACCAGUAACAUCAGUUUAGCCCUAAAUAUUGUCAUAAGUUCUCUGAUAGGCUCAUGUGAUUUAAGCUGGUGCUCUGUCAAGACUAGACUUAGGCGUUUUAUCCUUUUUAUGACAUUAUGUAUGUUGAAGAGAAUAUAUGAAUAUAUAUAAAACCUUCAUUAUCACAUUAUUCUCAAUCCAGCAUUUUCUCAGCCCCUGAUUUUCAUGUUAGUUCAGCAUUCUUACAUCUUUACAGAUUUUCAUCUAAGACUACAUUUCUAUUGUUUUAUAUAAUCAGCCCCCCUAAGAUCAACAUGUCCACAUUUUUUGGCAAAGACAAAGCCUACUGAUUUCAGGAUCAUUAUUUUCCUUUUUCAAAAGCACAAACCCAAACUGAGAAAUAAAUCAAGAGAAAUUCUCCUUUUUUCUAUGCUAAUUUAGAAGUAGAGUCUUUAUUUCUUUUCAAACCCAAAGAGAAUCAGACAUACAAUAUGAAUUUAUCUACUUUCGCUUGCUCAGACUGAGAGGAAAGAUUAAUAUUUUCAGGCUGUUAGUCAAAACUGUUCAUUCAAAUAUUAUUUAAUAAAAUCCAAGAACCAGCUAAAAAGUCGCUUAAGCUAAGAAACCUUCACCAGCCUCAUGGGAAAUUGUGUACAGUUUUCCACUAGAAUAGCCUAUAAAUGCUUACUGAAAAUGUCUAAGUUCAUAUCUUGGUAACUAACAUUUUAAUUCAAUCUGCAGAAUAAUAUAUGCUUCUUUAGUGCUAAGAUAUGAAUAUUAGAGGCAUUCUUUCUUAAAAUUUCUAUUUAGUUAUACUUUCACAAAUAACUAUAUAAUAUUAAAAUUCUGCAUGUGGCAUAAAACAUAUUUUAAUGGAGAAGGUAAUGUGUAGGGAGUUUAUUUCUGUUUGCUAUUAGAACUUGUGUUUAUUCUUGGUUAAAAAAACUGCAGAUUACAACAUAGAAAAAAACAAAAGUAUGUUGUAUAUCUCUUACAGUAGAAGAUAAAGAGUAGUUCUAAAUUUAGAAAGGAAAAAUAAAUAUACACAGUGAAAAUAUGUGUCAGUGAGAUGUUAAUCAAAGAUCAACUAUUGCUGAGACCAGCAAUAUUAAAUCCCUGCACAAUUACUCAUAUUAUAAUGAGAAUUUUAAAAAGAAAAUAUGAACACAUAACAUAAUGAAGGCAGAAGUCACUCUCAUCCUUCAUCUUUGUAUUCCCAAUUCAGGAAGCUGGUAUAGUAUCUUCAUUAUAAUUACUAUUCAACAAACAUUUGUAAAAUGAAUGAAUAAGGAAUGAAUGAUGAGAAAAAUGAUAAACAUCUCCCUCUGUCUCCUGGGAGUUAACUGCACUACUUUCUUUUAAAUUUAAUUAAUCCUCAAUGUCCUUGUAAAAUAGCCAAAGGGAAAAUGUAUUUACAUUACUCUAAAUAUUGAUGCAAUCUACAAAAAGUGUUAAACAACUUCCUCAAAGUAAAUAAAAUGUUCACAAUCCAGCUAGGAUAAAAGGAUUUAAAUCAUUUCCUAGGUAGAGGGCUUUCAAUUAGAGCCCCUGCUGCAUUAACCAUGGGAACUCAUCUCACUCUCUUCAUGAUGGAGCCCUGAGUGUUGCUGCUAAUCUGUACUCUACCAUUCUAAUGCUUUUAAGGUUCCUUUUCAGCCCUUCCUCCUCGUAAUCCACAAAUACUGAGACCAAGGCAUUUUUUGGGUCAGUCCUAAUUUCAAGCAUUCUAUCCUGCCCUCCCCAAAUGAACUCACACUUAUUAGACCAUAUGUUCCUAUAUUAGUUCAGGAAGGGGGAAAAAAUGUUAAUCACACUUGUAUAUAAGAGAUCAUAGAAAAACAGUUUACUAACCUGUGAAAAUACCAUUCAUUCUCUGUUUACCUCUGGUCCACAGCUAAGCAAUCAGCAGGAUAUAAAUGUACCCUAUGUUCACUAUUCAGUAUUCAUAAGUAUACUACUUAUGAAUUGGAAAUCUGACACAACAUUUACAUGACCUAAUUUUGAAAAUUUAAAAUAGUGUAAGGCCCCUAGGCUUAAUUUUACAGGGGAAAGAUUAAAGGGACACAAGCAAACAUAUAUUCUCUCUCUGUGCUGUGGGACACUGGUAAUUUUUUGACUUAAAAUAUUUGAUACUUAAAAUGCCAAACUUCUACAUUUCUGCAGUAACAAGGCAGUUAUCAUAUUGAAUACCAUUUCUUUCUCUCCAGUAAGUAGAGUUAAUAUUAGCACAUGAACUGAAAAUAUUAAGUGAUUAUAAAAACGUCCAAAUAAAUUCAUUAAAAUUUAGCUUGGCAAAAUGUUAGUUUCAUGUUCUUGGUAGAAGUCCUUUUAUAUUUAUAUUCAAAUGAAAUGAACAAUUUACAAGCAAAGGAAAUGGCAUCAAAUAUUUCACACCCUGCCUCCCAAGGUGUAUUGAUUCAUGCUUUUUGCUCAGAUCUAGGUUUCUCCACUCAGGAAAAGAGGAGAAUGUACCCAUACUUGGGAAAACAAGUUUCCGAUGGCACAGCUUUGAUCAAACAGCAAAAUUCUAUCCAUCUAUGUAUUGCCAUCUGACAGUAUGACAAAUGGUCCCAUGUGCGAUAUUCACACUGCAUUGCAGUCAAACCUGAUCUAAAAAAAAUAAUGCUGGGAAGUCCUAACCACAUCAAGAAUGCCUCAGAUCAGUGACCCAGGGAACCUUCCAGAAUGGAUGAAAUAGACCCAAAGCUGAAUUCACCUAAUUUUAGGGCCAAAAACCCAAAAAACAAAACAAGACCAAAAAAAUCUUCAGAUACUGGGAGAACAAAUCUCAAUUGCUCAAUUGUAUCUUAUGAAAACAAUUUUUCAAAAUAAAACAAGAGAUAUUUAAGAUUCAUUAAGUUCUUGUCAUUUCAAAUUUUAAGAAAAAUAUUUUCUAAUGGAAUUACAUAUAUUUAUAUGAUUCUUCUAGUUAUAUCCAUGGUAAUAAAUACUCUUUUCAGUUGGAAAUAAAACCCAUUUGUGCUAUAUUAUUAGGGAAAAUAUCUACAUAAAUUAGUUUUUAAUUUAACUAAAGUCUAUCUUUUGAAUUCAUAAGCAUAAAAUUUUAACCACUUGCAAAAUUUAUAACACACUUAAGGUAGUCAGAUGCCUUGUCAAGUAGUUUAACAAAAGUGAUUUUCACCUGUUUGUUUUAAUAACAGUGCAUCGAUUUUAUGAAAAUCAGGCAUGCCCUCGGGUCCUAACAAAGUAUACGAAGCUGAAUGGAUCUAUGCCAAAUAUGCCAGAUUUUACUUUCUGAGUCUGAUUUUAUACUUCUGUCCUCUUUCUUACCACAUGGCUUCCAGUAUCACUUACAGACUAACCCUUCAAAAGGAGAAGGCUAAGUUACUAACAUUUGGAAGGCUUAUGAAAGUGAAGCAUAGUUAUGAGCCAGCAAUGUUUUUAUUUAGGGAAUGUGUGCAAACCAUACACUUAAGCAAGCUCUGGGGAAUGAGAGUUGGGGGGAAUCAACUCUUUUAUUUGCUAAUUGGUAUUUCCUUUAAAAGAUAGAGUUCUUCCAGAUUUUAACUGUGUUAAUAGUUACUCUAGAAAAAUUGGAGAUUUGUGUGCAUAUAUUUUAUGUUGUAAACAGACACAUACCCAGAGACACUGAGAGAGACAGACAGACAGUAAACAGAGGAGCACUAACCACAAACGGUUUACAAAUGACCUCUGUGCUCAUUCACCUGUCUGUUCCCCACCUUGCCUUUUAUAGCAACUAUAGCAACAGCCAUGAGAGUCAUUGUGGAAAGAAAUAAAAUAAAAUUAAAAAAUCCUGGAAGCUUGUAAAGAAUGUGAGCAAAGGGGAGGAAGUUGUGAAAAAAAUGAAUAAAGGGCACCGAUCCAGAGUAUUGAAGAAGGCAGAGUGGAGAGCCUAGUAAUGAGUAUCUGGUACCCCAGUAUCCUCUCCCACAGAAUCUGUACAGCUCUCCGUUUAUGACAGUUUAAACUUAAUUUAAAUUAUCAAACAGACACUUUCCUCAAACAUAUAAAUGAUGAGGCAGUUCAUUCAGGCUGUAUGUAUAAAGUUGUUCCAGCCACCUUUUUCUAAUGGCUUCUCUAUAUCUUUUACAUGGAGACAAUGAGAGAUUUGCUUAGGACAAUUUGACUGUAAUUUAGAAGUAGGAAAUGGGAAGUAUUUGUAUCUUCUUUGCCUAACUCACAUUAGUUACUCAAGUAAGCAUUUCUUCCGUUAUUGCAUUUUCCUGAUUACAAGUUUUAUGUUUUCUCUAAAACACAUAUCAAAAGAAAUGUCCUAAGCACUAUGCAGGGGGAAGCCAUGACAUUUAUCCACCACUGUCAGCAAAAACAUGAACUUAGCCCUCAACAGAAUAUUUCACUUCAUUCUAGUGUCACCUCUGCGUCACCUGCACUGGAGUCACCACUUGCCUGUUGGGUAAGACCAGGAUGCACCGCUGAAAUAAAAAGGGGUCAGACAAUACAAGAAAAGCCAGUAGAAAUUGCCAAAUGUAUCAGAAUACACACAGGCUUUCUAAGGAUAUGGCCCAAGAGGAAGGCUCUAGAGCCCACCCUGAAACAGGAUUUUUGACUUCACAGAUAAAUUAUUUAAUUUUCAAUAACACAAUUCAAUUAAAGAAAGGGAAAUACAAGGCUAAACAAAUAAGAAAUGAAGACAAAAACCCAACCUUUCAAAUCUAAAGAAAAUAAUCUGUUUUAAAGACACAGAUGAAGAUCAGGAACCCAAAACAGAAGAAAGGAAAGGCAAUUAACGCUGGCAUCUGAUAACAACGAAAAGUAUGGAGUCUGGAGAAUCGCUAGACUCUAAAAAUUAUAAAGGUUUAGACUUGGACUUUGUACACUGAAGAAAAGAAAACUGCAUGCAUUUAUACUGACCAAUGUACACUAUUGCUGCUUUUUAACUUUUGUGUAUAUGUAGGGUAGAUUUUUUUUUAAGUGAAAGCAAGCUUAUUAAGAAAGUAAAAGAAUAAAAAGGUGGCUUCUCCAUAGGCAGAAAACUAGCGUAGUUUUUUUAUUAGAAAUUGUUAUUCAAUAAUAGUACAUGUUACAAAUAAAUACCAUUUUAAACUGAAAAAAUUGUAGACUUUCAAAUCAGUUAGGGUGGUCACCCUAAAAAAGGGCAUUUUUUCCCCUUAGUCUCCUUGUUCAUGUUGCUCACAACAAGAAAUGGGCUAAUGCUAUGAAUAAUAAUAACAAACACUGCCUUCUGUCAGGCCCUGUGCUGAAUACCGUCUGCAUAUGUAUAGGAAAGGGUUAACUCAGCAGGUCUUGUUUGCCCAGACUCUGUACAUUUCCAAGAAAGGUCUGCCUUUAGGACUGGUCCUUGGCCAGCUCCUGGAGAAUGAGCUCUCAGCUUUUAGAAAAUUCUAUCUGCUAAGAAUAGUUUUGCAUGUCUCAGGUCUUGGGCCACAAAAUAUCAGUUUAAUCAGAUGGUUUAUGUUAACAAGUAUGAUUUAUGGCAAACAUAGAUCUCUAAUCUCCAUUUCUCUCUCAUAUAUCUAUAUUUAUCUAUCCAUAUAUAUGUACCUAUAUAUAUCAAAUAUGAAGAUAUGUUUAUAGCAAUUGCAUAUAAAUAGAGAGAUAGUAUGUAGUAGGAAGAGAGACAUAGAUAUUAUUCUUCAUUUUAGAAUGUUAUCUUGGUAUGUUUAAAAGGAAAAACUUAAGAUGUGUUGCAAUUGCAGUAUGAGUUUCAGGUAUGUACAUGUUAUGUGUGUGUGUGAGAGACACACACAAACACAUUUCAAACAUGUUUUAUGUUUAAGCUCAAUAUUCAAACACAGAAAUAUAACAUCUAUUCUUAAUAUGUUUUAUGUAAGUACAGCAGCAGCAUUAUUAAAUACUGUAUUUCUAUGGUGAUUGAAAAUUAGUAGGCAGAGAAUUUUUGUAAUGGUUCUUAAUAAUUUUUGUAAUAGUAAAUGAUUACUUUUUGUUUAGUAUAGUUUUAUAAUCUAUACAUGAAUAAAGUGGAUAUUUCUAUUCAUAUAGAAAUGUGAUUUACUCUCAUGUACUUAUCUACAUGCUAAAACCAUAAGUUAUCAAUUUUAGUUCUGUGCCAAGGCACUUUUACUGAAUAAAAAUAAUCAGCUAAUUUUAUAUUUUCCUGAUUCAAAUUUAUAUGCCCGUGUAAUGUUCCGGGGUUUUUUUUUUUAAUUUCUGUAAAUCAGAAUAUUCAGAUGUUGAAAAAGUCUUUGCCUUCAGAUUUAAAAGAUACCUUUGAAAUGUAGCAUAUCCCAAAAUGCAACCCAGAGGCUGGCAAUGUCAACAUUUUUCUGUUUUAAAAAACCUCUUAUGAAAACUAUUGCCAUACUAAAUUUUUUACUUGCUGAUGACUUACAGCUGGAAAGGAUUCUGUACAUAUAAGACAUCAAAUAUUGAGGAUACUGGAACUUUUAAAUUAAUGGCAAAGAAAGUCAACAAAGGAAGUUCAUAUGAAAUCAAACUAGUAAUAUGAUUACAAAAAAAAAAGUUUAAAAUUUUUCUUGGCCCCAGUCUUAUCAUUUCUGAGCCAAAUACAAUUCUAUCGAAAUCACCUGAAACUGAAAUCACCAUUCUAGGCUGGUUUUCCCAUAAAGAUGGACUGCUCCAAAAAGAGGAAUCAAGAAAGAAUUUGGCUCACAGUGAAUUAUUCACUUUGUCUUAGUU
rnacentral:lncRNA from 1 species